rnacentral:rRNA from 1 species
AGCGAACGCUGGCGGCAGGCCUAACACAUGCAAGUCGAACGAACUCUUCGGAGUUAGUGGCGGACGGGUGAGUAACACGUGGGAACGUGCCUUUUGGUUCGGAACAACUCAGGGAAACUUGUGCUAAUACCGAAUGUGCCCUUCGGGGGAAAGAUUUAUCGCCAUUGGAGCGGCCCGCGUCUGAUUAGCUAGUUGGGGAGGUAACGGCACACCAAGGCGACGAUCAGUAGCUGGUCUGUGAGGAUGACCAGCCACACUGGGACUGAGACACGGCCCAGACUCCUACGGGAGGCAGCAGUGGGGAAUCUUGCGCAAUGGGCGAAAGCCUGACGCAGCCAUGCCGCGUGAAUGAUGAAGGUCUUAGGAUUGUAAAAUUCUUUCACCGGGGACGAUAAUGACGGUACCCGGAGAAGAAGCCCCGGCUAACUUCGUG